UUUUUUUUUUUUUUUUUUUUUGAGGUUCCGUAAAUAUUAUGAGCUAUCUAUGAUUUGUGGAAACUAUUUCCUUCACUUUACCCAGGGAUUAAUGACAAUAGAAAUUCUUCACAUUUGGGUAGUGCUUCCAGAAAGUCUUCACCAAGGGUGGAUACUCAGAGUGGCCAUCUUACUUAUUAUAGCCAGCAUCUGUCCAACAGCUGUUCCAGCUGGUCCAUCUCCAUACUAUACAGAUUAAUAAAUAUUUUGGAUAUCACCUUUGCUUUCACCUACAGUAUCCCUUUUAUAUCACAAACAAAAGUGGGAGCAGACAAAAGAAUGGGCCACAAAGGUCAUUUUGUAGAUGAGCAAGAUAAGAUUCUGAAGUGACUACUCCAAGCUAAUCAAUGGGCAAAGCUGGGUUGGAAAUUGGGACUUUUGUUCCAAGGCUCUCUGCAUCUCAUUGUGAUUUACACAGAAGAUAAAGUUACAUUAUAUUUUCUCCUCAUUAUUUCUCAGAAACUAGGCUAAAGAAUUUACAUGCAUUGAACACUUACAACAAAUUUCAGGAGGUAGGUUUUAUUAUCCUGUCUAUUUUUCAUUUAAGGAAUGUGACAUUCGAGGUUAAGUUCAUUUUGCUAGGCAGUGCAAAGCCAGAAUUUUUUUUUUUUUGUCUUUUUGCCUUUGCUAGGGCCACUCCUACAGCAUAUGGAGGUUCCCAGGUUAGGGGUCCAAUCGGAGCUGUAGCUGCCGGCCUAUGCCAGAGCCACAGCAACGUGGGAUCUGAGCUGCAUCUGCAACCUACACCACAGCUCACAGCAACGCUGGAUCCUUCACCCACUGAGCAAGACCAGGGAUCGAACCCGCAACCUCAUGGUUCUUCGUCGGAUUUGUUAACCACUGAGUCACGACGGGAAUUCCCAAAGCCAGAAUUUGAACUCAGAUCUGCCUACUCUACAAAACCACAUGGCUCCUACUCUCAAGAUCCUAGUUGUAGAAUCCAGACAUGCAAAACAUCAUUAAUCAUAAGCUAAAAUAUAUGGUUGAUGUGAUUAUAUUCAGAUAAUAUAUGCUAUAUGGGAUCAGGAAAAGGAAAGGUCAACUGAGUUUGUGUCACCAGGAAAAACUACUUGAUAAUAGGAUCUCAAAUCACAACUAUUUGUGAUUUUUAUAAUGCUAUGGCUAUUCUGUAGAAAUUUGAUGGGCUACAUUAAAUCUUGAAUGAUGAAUGGGGCUUAGGUAAGAGACAAAGGAAUUCUGGGUAAAAAAGGCCAUGACUUAAAAGCAUAUAAGUAUGAGGAAAACCUAGAAUGUUCAGGGAAAAAAAAAGCCCUUCUACCUAUGUCAGGGGUGGUAAAUCAACCUUAUUUCAUGAAACAUGCUUCAUCAAUUAAGAAUGGUUGCCCAGAGUACUGUCUUGAGGACAACAAUGAUGCAAUUGGGUAAGAAGUCAAAGCGAAGAUGGCUUAGUGAUGUUGGCCAUGGACACCAGAUUGGAACCUGGUCGCCCAAGUACCAUGUAUCUUCCCUUAUAAGAUGCAGAGUCCACAGUAUAAUAAAGAAUGAGCAAGCAAGAGUGCUGAAGGAGUAUCUUAAGGUGCAUCACAGAGAGUUAUUUUCUGUGAGGAUAUGGAGUUUGGACUUGAUUUAAUGGGCAAGAAGCUCAUUGAGAGCUCUUGAAAAAGAGAGGCUCCAAAUAAAAUUUGGACUAUAGUAUGUAGAAUAAACUAGAAGGCAGUUAUAUGAAAUUUGGCUGCUGGCCAUUCACAACAGCUUCUGAAUUGAUAUUCUUCUCAUAGAGCUAGUCAUUAGGUAUCAAAAUGACACUUUCAAAAAAAGAAAAAAAUUAUUUAUAUACUCACUAUUGAGUGAAAGCUCAAGCUGGAAGUAAGCAAACCCUUGGCUUUCACCACAGCUAUGGGAUUGGCUAAUAAAGGCCCAAAUACCACUUCCACAACCCUGGCCUCUCAAUGGCCAGUGGGAUAUUGAAUUACACUCUUGGAUAUGAUAUUCCACUGAGGGAAAUUAUGUCACCAAAGACCUAGGUCUGACCUGACCUCAUCACAGGUCAGCAUCUCAUGACAGUUUAUAGUCACCAUCACUCAGAUCUAUUGGGCACUUAUUAUCUUCUAGGAUAAGACUUACUUUACAUUUUUGUCUCAGUUUAUCCUCACGACAACCCUAAUAAGCAUGAGUGUGCCUAUUUUUCAGAUGAAUAAACUGAGGCUUAGAAAGGGAUAUAAGUUGCCCAAGGUGGAACUGAGAUAGAGAUAGCCAACUGAGAACUGAGAUAGCCAUUGCCAAGGCUGUGCCCUUUACCAUCAUCACCAUGGAGGCCAAGCCUCUGCACACAUGGGCUCCAGCAAAGCAUAUUCCUACUGACAUCACAGCAUGCAAACCACAGACAAGCUCAUGUGAGAUCCUGGGGGACCAUGAAUUCUGUCCCAUUCCUUUCCCAGACGACAUCAACAACCAAGCCACAAGAACCUGCAAAUUAAUUUCUGUUAACCACACACCCCAAAAUACCUACUGUCAAGAAAGAGGAUCAGGAGCAUUUCACUCCCAACAACAUCAUUUCCAGGGCCCCAUGGUAAAUAUGUCUGGAGCAGUAAAUACUUUUCUGAAAUUGGGAAAAAUAAAUCCACAUAUCAUGAUUGAGGUUAAACCUUUAGUUUCCCAAGGUCCACAAGUCUUCCUGGAAGCCUGGGGAGGGGGGGGGCUGUCUGUUUGUUUGUUUGUUUUCAAUUUUAUGAGGCAUCUAAAACUCCCAGUUUCUAAGUCUGGGUCUCUGCUCUUAUGUGUUCAGUUUAGAAUGGAACCAGAAAACAAAAACAAAAACAAAACACCACAUGUGCCUAAUGCCAUAUUUUAAAUACAUCUCUGAAAAGUUGACUAGAAACCCUCUCAUUCUUGUCCAAGAAUCCCUUGUUUAUUUAACUGAUACAUAAUAAGUCCAUUUGCCUUUACCUUUAACCCCUUAAAAUGCUCUGUGGUUUUCAUAGAUUUCCGUUUCACAUGUACAGUGAUACCCACUUCCAUUUUCAUUAUAUAUAAAAGCUUAUACUUUCCAUCAAGCCUGUAUUUUUUUUUCAGUAAGAAUCCAUUUCAGGGUACUUCAGAGGUGAGUCAAAUCUCUCUCCAAAAGUGAAAGAAGUUAUUUCUCCUAUCUUUAUUUGGAUCUGUGC
rnacentral:lncRNA from 1 species